rnacentral:rRNA from 1 species
GCAAGUCGAACGGUAACAGAUCUUUCGGGAUGCUGACGAGUGGCGCACGGGUGCGUAACGCGUAUGCAACCUACCUAUUACAGGGGGAUAGCCCGGGGAAACUCGGAUUAAUACCCCAUAGUAUCAUCAGAUGGCAUCUGAAGAUGAUUAAAGAUUUAUUGGUAAUAGAUGGGCAUGCGUCUGAUUAGUUAGUUGGAGAGGUAACGGCUCACCAAGACGAUGAUCAGUAGGGGUUCUGAGAGGAUGAUC